UAUAAUAGUAGCAUCAACAUUGCAGUUGCUGUGGCCAUGGAUGGUGGAUUGCUCACGCCAGUGCUUCAAGAUGCUGAUAAGGUUGACAUUUAUUCACUGUCAAGAAAAUGGAAAGAGUUAGUUGAUAAGGCCCGGGCCAAGCAGCUGCAACCUCAUGAAUACAAUACAGGUACUUUCACGCUUUCUAACCUUGGAAUGUUUGGUGUGGAUCGGUUUGAUGCCAUUCUGCCACCUGGAACUGGAGCAAUCAUGGCUGUUGGUGCAUCUCAGCCAUCUGUUGUGGCCACCAAGGAUGGUUGUAUCGGCAUGAAGAACCAGAUGCAGGUAAAUGUUACAGCAGAUCAUCGAGUAAUCUAUGGUGCUGAUCUGGCAUCCUUCUUGCAAACCCUGGCAAAGAUUAUUGAGGACCCCAAAGAUCUUACCUUCUAGUCCACACCACAUCACUAAUUGAGGCCUUUUCUUUGCACUUGUUACAUUACCUUGACCUUGUUGUAUGUUCUCAAAGCUCAUUUUCUUCAUUAUCAAUCCUUGAUAUUUAUGAAUGAGACUCGUGUAGUUGUACUGCUGAAAAUGUAGGAGCUAAAUCACUCUGUUCAAAGUUCUACAUAGAACAGGAGCAGAAUUUUGAAGAGCAAUGUUUAUUCGUGUUUCAGACAUUACAUUUUUUUGUUCUUCAAUGAUGCCAUAAAAAUGGCCCUUUCAAUGUCUUCUUGGUGAUCAUUUUUGGUCGU
rnacentral:misc_RNA from 1 species